rnacentral:rRNA from 1 species
UACAGAGGGUGCGAGCGUUAAUCGGAAUUACUGGGCGUAAAGCGCGCUUAGGCGGCUUUGCAAGUCGGGUGUGAAAUCCCCAGGCUUAACCUGGGAACUGCAUUCGAGACUGCAUUGCUAGAGUAUGGGAGAGGGAAGUGGAAUUUCCGGUGUAGCGGUGAAAUGCGUAGAUAUCGGAAGGAACAUCAGUGGCGAAGGCGGCUCACUGGCCCGGUACUGACGCUGAGGUGCGAAAGCGUGGGGAGCAAACAGG